AGCGAAUCGCUUAAAGCCGGUCUCAGUUCGGAUCGGUGUCUGCAACUCGACCCCGUGAAGUCGGAGUCGCUAGUAAUCGCAGAUCAGCAACGCUGCGGUGAAUACGUUCCCGGGCCUUGUACACACCGCCCGUCACGUCAUGAAAGUCGGUAACACCCGAAGCCGGUGGCCUAACCCCUUGUGGGAGGGAGCCGUCGAAGGUGGGAUCGGCGAUUGGGACGAAGUCGUAACAAGGUAGCCGUAUCGGAAGGUGCGGCUGGAUCACCUCCUUU
rnacentral:rRNA from 1 species